CCUACGGGAGGCUGCAGUCGAGAAUCAUUCACAAUGGGGGAAACCCUGAUGGUGCGACGCCGCGUGGGGGAAUGAAGGUCUUCGGAUUGUAAACCCCUGUCAUGUGGGAGCAAAUUAAAAAGAUAGUACCACAAGAGGAAGAGACUGCUAACUCUGUGCCAGCAGCCGCGGUAAUACAGAGGUCGCAAGCGUUGUUCGGAAUCACUGGGCGUAAAGCGUGCGUAGGCUGUUUCGUAAGUCGUGUGUGAAAGGCGCGGGCUCAACCCGCGGACGGCACAUGAUACUGCGAGACUAGAGUAAGGGAGGGGGGACCGGAAUUCUCGGUGUAGCAGUGAAAUGCGUAGAUAUCGAGAGGAACACUCGUGGCGAAGGCGGGUUCCUGGACAUUAACUGACGCUGAGGCACGAAGGCCAGGGGAGCGAAAGGGAUUAGAUACCCGAGUAGUC
rnacentral:rRNA from 1 species